AACGAACGUUGGCGGCGUGGAUCAGGCAUGCAAGUCGGGGGAAUCCCAGCAAUGGGGGAACCGGCGUAAGGGGCAGUAAGGCGUGGGUACCUACCCCGGGGUUCGGGAUAGCCGUCCGAGAGGGCGGGUAAUACCGGAUGACCUGGUGACAGCCAAGCUUUAUCGCCCUGGGAGGGGCCCACGUGAUAUUAGGUAGUUGGCGGGGUAACGGCCCACCAAGCCUUAGAUGUCUAGCGGGUGUGAGAGCACGACCCGCGCCACUGGCACUGAGACACUGGCCAGACACCUACGGGUGGCUGCAGUCGAGGAUCUUCGGCAAUGGGCGCAAGCCUGACCGAGCGACGCCGCGUGGGCGAUGAAGGCCUUCGGGUUGUAAAGCCCUGCCGGGGGGGAGAAAAGGGUAAAACUUUGAUCUAUCCCCGGAGGAAGCACGGGCUAAGUUCGUGCCAGCCGCCGCGGUAA
rnacentral:rRNA from 1 species